GGAGAGAUGGCUCAGCGGUUAAGAGCACUGACUCCUCUUCUGAAGGUCCUGAGUUCAAAUCCCAGCAACCACA
rnacentral:tRNA from 1 species